rnacentral:rRNA from 1 species
AGGACGAACGCUGGCGGCGUGCCUAACACAUGCAAGUCGAGCGGGGACUGCGACGACGGAUUUGAAGAUUCGGUUGGAUAUGAAGAUGUACAGUUCUAGCGGCGGACGGGUGAGUAACGCGUGAGCAACCUGUCCCGUUACAGGGGGAUAACACAGCGAAAGUUGUACUAAUACCGCAUAAGACCACGGAUUCACAUGGAUCAGGGGUCAAAGGAGUAAUCCGGGUAAGGGGUGGGCUCGCGUCCGAUUAGAUAGUUGGUGAGGUAACGGCCCACCAAGUCGACGAUCGGUAGCCGACCUGAGAGGGUGAUCGGCCACAUUGGGACUGAGACACGGCCCAAACUCCUACGGGAGGCAGCAGUGGGGGAAUAUUGGGCAAUGGGGGGAACCCUGACCCAGCAACGCCGCGUGAGGGAAGAAGGUUUUCGGAUCGUAAACCUCUGUCCUAUGUGAAGAGGAAGAGACGGUAGCAUAGGAGGAAGCCCCGGCUAACUACGUGCCAGCCGCAGC